ACCCGCUGAACUUAAGCAUAUCAAUAAGCGGAGGAAAAGAAACCAACAGGGAUUGCCCUAGUAACGGCGAGUGAAGCGGCAACAGCUCAAAUUUGAAAUCUGGCGUCUUUGGCGUCCGAGUUGUAAUUUGCAGAGGGCGCUUUGGCAUUGGCAGCGGUCCAAGUUCCUUGGAACAGGACGUCACAGAGGGUGAGAAUCCCGUACGUGGUCGCUAGCCUUUACCGUGUAAAGCCCCUUCGACGAGUCGAGUUGUUUGGGAAUGCAGCUCUAAAUGGGAGGUAAAUUUCUUCUAAAGCUAAAUACUGGCCAGAGACCGAUAGCGCACAAGUAGAGUGAUCGAAAGAUGAAAAGCACUUUGGAAAGAGAGUUAAAAAGCACGUGAAAUUGUUGAAAGGGGAGCGCUUGCAGCCAGACUUGCCUGUAGUUGCUCAUCCGGGUUUUUACCCGGUGCACUCUUCUAUAGGCAGGCCAGCAUCAGUUUGGGCGGUUGGAUAAAGGUCUCUGUCAUGUACCUCUCUUCGGGGAGAACUUAUAGGGGAGACGACAUGCAACCAGCCCGGACUGAGGUCCGCGCAUCUGCUAGGAUGCUGGCGUAAUGGCUGU
rnacentral:rRNA from 1 species